rnacentral:lncRNA from 1 species
GAUAAAUCUGAUAGGAAAAUCCAGUGCUUCCAUAAUCUGUUGCAAACUGCACCAUUCAACUGAGUCAUAGGCUUUCUGAAGAUCAAUUUUGAUUAUACAUCUGGGAGAUAUGUGUGAUCUAGAGUACUGUUUUAUUAAUUCAUGAGCAAAUAUGACAUUAUCUGCUACUCUUCUUCCUGGUAUAAAGCCUGCCUGUGCACUACAAAUGAUACUACUCAUAACCUUCUGAAGUCUGUUGGCCAAUAACUUGGAAAUAAUUUUAUAUAAGACUGAACAGCAAGCUAUAGGUCUGAACUCUUUAACUGUUUGAGGAUUGGAUACCUUGGGAAGCAAAGUGAGUGUGGCACAAUUAGUAGGUCUGUACAUCUUGUUGACUGUUUGAGGAUUGGAUACCUUGGGAAGCAAAGUGAGUGUGGCACAAUUAGCAGGUCUGUACAUCUUGGAGGUCUGAAAGAAAUUCUUGAUUGCUUGCAAAACCUGUUUGCCAAUGACAUGCCAAGAAUGUUUGAAGAACAUGGCAUUAAAUCCAUCAAUCCCUGGAGAUUUAUCAUUUCCAAUUGCCCUCGAACUGUCUAGAAUCUCUG